AUGAAGAGGGAGAGAAAGGAGGAGGAUGAGAUGCAAAAGGAUGAUUCAGAAGAGAAAGCUAAUGAGGGAAAACCUUCUCGGUCUGUGAGUCUUGGCACAAAACUUGGGAUUGAUGCUGUUGAAGGGGCACAAAUGGAAAACAUCAAAGGAGGUGAAACCCAAGAGCUUCCAAGAUACAGUGGGAGGAUUUCCUUGAAGAACAGAGAUGACAUUCCUAUACUAGACAGAGCUAUGACUUUGUCCAGAGCCAAAAAUCUAGCUCUAUCUGAAGGGAGGACGCAAAGCUGGAGCUGCAACAGGGCGCAAAGCUGCUGGAGCGAGUCGCCAGUGACAUCUUCUAGGCGCGAAGGAGUUGGGCAUCCUGAAUUCCGAGGAUCGAAGAUUGAUUCAAAAUUAAUGGACUGUAGAGAGUUUUGA
rnacentral:rRNA from 1 species